UACGUAGGGUGCAGGCGUUAAUCGGAAUUACUGGGCGUAAAGCGUGCGCAGGCGGUCUUUUAAGUCAGAUGUGAAAUCCCCGGGCUUAACCUGGGAACUGCGUUUGAAACUGGAAGGCUUGAGUGUGGCAGAGGGGGGUGGAAUUCCACGUGUAGCAGUGAAAUGCGUAGAGAUGUGGAGGAACACCGAUGGCGAAGGCAGCCCCCUGGGCCAAUACUGACGCUCAUGCACGAAAGCGUGGGGAGCAAACAGG
rnacentral:rRNA from 1 species